rnacentral:rRNA from 1 species
UACAGAGACCUCAAGCAUUAUCCGGAUUUAUUGGGCGUAAAGGGUCCGCAGGCGGUUUCCUAAGUCUUUCGUUAAAUCUCAAGGCUCAACCUUGGGGCAGCGGGGGAAACUGGGGAACUAGAGGUUGGGAGAGGUAUGCGGAAUUACCGGUGUAGUAGUAAAAUGCGUUAAUAUCGGUAAGAACACCAAAGGCGAAGGCAGCAUACUGGAACACACCUGACGCUAAGGGACGAAAGCACGGGGAGCGAAG